rnacentral:lncRNA from 1 species
CGGGGCUUAAUUGAACUUGUAAUUUAUUGUGACAGAUACCAUUAGCUAGACUGAUGUUGAAACCAUUCACUCUAAAGCAAAAAGUAGUCAAACUUUCAACUUAUGGUUGAAAAAACACAGUCUAAUUACAUAAAGAAAAAUUCUUGAAGCUACGGCAGCAGUGUCAAAAUGAAGGUGAAAGCAUUCCUUUGCUUUGUGUUUCUGUUACUGGUGCCCUUAUGUGGCACUUCUGCAGGAUCGAGCAUGGAGAAUCUUGAAGCCAAGAAGCAUUGGAAUCGUCUAAACGAGCGGCCUCCUCUUAGGUCCACCCAGGUCUGUCUAGAUGCCCUUUAUCUGUGUUUGUUUUAUACAAGAAUUAUCCAUGCCUGCGUCUCUGUGUCUUGUCUGUGUCUGUGUUUAUACUGUUUAUACAUUUAACAAGAUUUUGCAAUGUAAGAAAAUACUCGAAACAGUUGACAAAAUCUGUUAGUAUUUGAAACCUGUUCUUGAAUAGAAAUUGGAUAUUUACAAGUUUACCUUCUAAUUUUUAAACAAGAUAAUGCUAUCUUUACCAGAUCUGUGUAGAAGAUGAACUGUUCUUGCUUUUUACCCUCUCUUAUUUUCAGCUUUUCACAUUAUGAGAAAAGACAAGAUAUGUACUGUGUGCAUAUUAGAUGCUCAAAAUCUUAUCCCAACUAACAAAAGGUAAAGUUGUUGGGUUGGGCUUUAAUUAAUUGUGUUUUGGUCCAAUAUGGGUUUGACAAAAGUAUCAUAAGCAAGCUAGUAACAAACAUGUGUGAAUCUCAUUAUGACUGGAAUAUGCCAAACAUAAUAAUCCAAUAUUCUUAUACGUUGCCGGCAUAAUCAUACAAUAAUUACCCAGUAAAUACUAGAAAUUCAUAAGGAGAAUGCUUGCAAAUUUUGCACAACAAUAAUGCGUAUAUUGAAACUAUAAAUUACCGAUAGGUGAUUAUAUUAAUAUCACAACUUUUAUUUUGU